rnacentral:rRNA from 1 species
GAACGCUAGCUACAGGCUUAACACAUGCAAGUCGAGGGGCAGCAUGGUCUUAGCUUGCUAAGGCUGAUGGCGACCGGCGCACGGGUGAGUAACACGUAUCCAACCUGCCGUCUACUCUUGGCCAGCCUUCUGAAAGGAAGAUUAAUCCAGGAUGGCAUCAUGAGUUCACAUGUCCGCAUGAUUAAAGGUAUUUUCCGGUAGACGAUGGGGAUGCGUUCCAUUAGAUAGUAGGCGGGGUAACGGCCCACCUAGUCAACGAUGGAUAGGGGUUCUGAGAGGAAGGUCCCCCACAUUGGAACUGAGACACGGUCCAAACUCCUACGGGAGGCAGCAGUGAGGAAUAUUGGUCAAUGGGCGAUGGCCUGAACCAGCCAAGUAGCGUGAAGGAUGACUGCCCUAUGGGUUGUAAACUUCUUUUAUAAAGGAAUAAAGUCGGGUAUGCAUACCCGUUUGCAUGUACUUUAUGAAUAAGGAUCGGCUAACUCCGUGCCAGCAGCCGCGGUAAUACGGAGGAUCCGAGCGUUAUCCGGAUUUAUUGGGUUUAAAGGGAGCGUAGAUGGAUGUUUAAGUCAGUUGUGAAAGUUUGCGGCUCAACCGUAAAAUUGCAGUUGAUACUGGAUGUCUUGAGUGCAGUUGAGGCAGGCGGAAUUCGUGGUGUAGCGGUGAAAUGCUUAGAUAUCACGAAGAACUCCGAUUGCGAAGGCAGCCUGCU